rnacentral:rRNA from 1 species
UACGUAGGGCGCGAGCGUUGUCCGGAAUUAUUGGGCGUAAAGGGCUCGUAGGCGGUUUGUCGCGUCGGGAGUGAAAACACCGGGCUUAACUCGGUGCUUGCUUUCGAUACGGGCAGACUAGAGGUAUGCAGGGGAGAACGGAAUUCCUGGUGUAGCGGUGAAAUGCGCAGAUAUCAGGAGGAACACCGGUGGCGAAGGCGGUUCUCUGGGCAUUACCUGACGCUGAGGAGCGAAAGUGUGGGGAGCGAACAGG